rnacentral:rRNA from 1 species
UACAGAGGUCUCAAGCGUUGUCCGGAAUUAUUGGGCGUAAAGGGCUCGUAGGCGGUUUGUCGCGUCGGGAGUGAAAACACCGGGCUUAACUCGGUGCUUGCUUCCGAUACGGGCAGACUAGAGGCAUGCAGGGGAGAACGGAAUUCCUGGUGUAGCGGUGAAAUGCGCAGAUAUCAGGAGGAACACCGGUGGCGAAGGCGGUUCUCUGGGCAUGUCCUGACGCUGAGGAGCGAAAGCGUGGGGAGCGAACAGG